GUGCCUACUGAACUGGUAUCAGUGUUUUAUCUGAAACUGGCUCAGUUCAGCAGGAAC
ensembl:miRNA gmo-mir-24a-1 gmo-mir-24a-1